GACGAACGCUGGCGGCGUGCUUAACACAUGCAAGUCGAACGGAAAGGCCCUGCUUUUGUGGGGUGCUCGAGUGGCGAACGGGUGAGUAACUCGUGAGUAACCUGCCCUUGACUUUGGGAUAACUUCAGGAAACUGGGGCUAAUACCGGAUAGGAGCUCCUGCUGCAUGGUGGGGGUUGGAAAGUUUCGGCGGUUGGGGAUGGACUCGCGGCUUAUCAGCUUGUUGGUGGGGUAGUGGCUUACCAAGGCUUUGACGGGUAGCCGGCCUGAGAGGGUGACCGGCCACAUUGGGACUGAGAUACGGCCCAGACUCCUACGGGAGGCAGCAGUGGGGAAUAUUGCACAAUGGGCGGAAGCCUGAUGCAGCAACGCCGCGUGCGGGAUGACGGCCUUCGGGUUGUAAACCGCUUUCGCCUGUGACGAAGCGUGAGUGGCGGUAAUGGGUAAAGAAGCACCGGCUAACUACGUG
rnacentral:rRNA from 1 species